AGUACGCUAUAGAGUUUGAUCAUGGCUCAGAACGAACGCUGGCGGCAGGCUUAACACAUGCAAGUCGAGCGCCCCGCAAGGGGAGCGGCAGACGGGUGAGUAACGCGUAGGAAUCUACCCAUCUCUACGGAACAACUCCGGGAAACUGGAGCUAAUACCGUAUACGUCCUUACGGAGAAAGAUUUAUCGGAGAUGGAUGAGCCCGCGUUGGAUUAGCUAGUUGGUGGGGUAAUGGCCUACUAAGGCGACGAUCCAUAGCUGGUCUGAGAGGAUGAUCAGCCACACUGGGACUGAGACACGGCCCAGACUCCUACGGGAGGCAGCAGUGGGGAAUAUUGGACAAUGGGCGCAAGCCUGAUCCAGCCAUGCCGCGUGAGUGAUGAAGGCCCUAGGGUUGUAAAGCUCUUUCAACGGUGAAGAUAAUGACGGUAACCGUAGAAGAAGCCCCGGCUAACUUCGUGCCAGCCGCCGCGG
rnacentral:rRNA from 1 species